rnacentral:lncRNA from 1 species
GUUCACGUCUUCCCUUCUCUAGUAAACUUACAUACCCUUCCUAUCCCAAGUUCCCAGACAUGGUGCCAAAACUACCCCCAAAUGAAGUGUUCUCGAGAAAUUUUCCUACGAAUGAGACAGAUCUACCUCCCUCAUUUUCCUUCUCAACCUUGAGCCAAGAGGUGGUGCCAAGACUACCCUCAACCGAAAAAGUUUCAAGAAUUUUUCCUACAAAUGAGACAAACCCACCUCCCUCAUUUUCCUUCUCAACCUUGAGCCCCGAGGUGGUGCCAAGACUACCCUCAACUGAAGUAUUCCCGAGAAACAUUCCUACGAAUGAGGCAGGUAUUCCUCCUUCAUUCGCCUUACGUAAUGAUCCUCAUAUCAGACCAAAUAUGUAUAGAGGUUGAUAUUGUUCAC